rnacentral:rRNA from 1 species
AGUGAACGCUGGCGGUAGGCCUAACACAUGCAAGUCGAACGGCAGCACAGUAAGAGCUUGCUCUUACGGGUGGCGAGUGGCGGACGGGUGAGGAAUACAUCGGAAUCUACUUUUUCGUGGGGGAUAACGUAGGGAUACUUACGCUAAUACCGCAUACGACCUACGGGUGAAAGCAGGGGAUCUUCGGACCUUGCGCGAUUGAAUGAGCCGAUGUCGGAUUAGCUAGUUGGCGGGGUAAAGGCCCACCAAGGCGACGAUCCGUAGCUGGUCUGAGAGGAUGAUCAGCCACACUGGAACUGAGACACGGCCCAGACUCCUACGGGAGGCAGCAGUGGGGAAUAUUGGACAAAGGGCGCAAGCCUGAUCCAGCCAUACCGCGUGGGUGAAGAAGGCCUUCGGGUUGUAAAGCCCUUUUGUUGGGAAAGAAAAGCAGCAGGUUAAUACCCCGCUGUUCUGACGGUACCCAAAGAAUAAGCACCGGCUAACUUCGUG